rnacentral:rRNA from 1 species
AGCGAACGCUGGCGGCAGGCUUAACACAUGCAAGUCGGACGGGCGUAGCAAUACGUCAGUGGCAGACGGGUGAGUAACGCGUGGGAACGUACCUUUUGGUUCGGAACAACCCAGGGAAACUUGGGCUAAUACCGGAUAAGCCCUUACGGGGAAAGAUUUAUCGCCGAAAGAUCGGCCCGCGUCUGAUUAGCUAGUUGGUGAGGUAACGGCUCACCAAGGGCGACGAUCAGUAGCUGGUCUGAGAGGAUGAUCAGCCACAUUGGGGACUGAGACACGGCCCAAAACUCCUACGGGAGGCAGCAGUGGGGAAUAUUGGACAAUGGGCGCAAGCCUGA